AUCACACUUUAACCUCUCAUCACCUGGCGGAAGAUCACCUCCUCCAGUGACCUCCUUCUCAAAGGAUCUUUGUCUAGCAAGUUACUUGGUGACCCUACCAGUGCUGGUGCUACAUAAAAAGUAUCCAGUUCACACUGUAAAGUGUUUGGCAUUUGUAAGGGCAUCCAGCUGUAAAAACCAUGCCAAAACAGACCUUGCUGGUGCUGGUGCUACGUAAAAAGCACUCAGUUCACUCUGUGGGGUGGUUAGUGUUAGGAAGGGCAUCUAGCCAUAAAAACCAUACCAAAACAGACAACAAAACCUGGUGCAGUUUUAUGGAUAGCCAGCUCCUGUCAAACUAUCCAGCUUAUGCCAGCACGGAAAGCUGACAUUAAAUGAUGAUCAUGAUAUAUAUAAGUAACAUGAGCUACACCAACCUUUUACUCAAUAAAUAUGCCUCUAGCUAUAUGAAUUGAGAGUCACUUCUGUUAGUUCACUCGCUUGUACAUACAUACACACAUGUACAUAUCCCCCACCCUCACACACAGAAAACUAAGCAGAGUGUUCUGAUUUAUAUAUCACCCACUUUUUGGUGUCAACAGCAGCUGUUAUAUAUUGUGUCUCUAAACAAGUAGCUGUCUUUAGUUCACCAGCAGCUGAUGAGAUAAGUACUAUAUGUGACUGUUUAAUCAUGCCAUGUACAAAAGAAGCCUUGGAACUGUCUGAAUUUCAAAGAGGCCAUACUGUAAGUCAAUCUGAAGGUGGACACAGCAUAAAAUCGCAGAAAAUCUUGGUUACUAUGGCAGAGCAGCAAGAAAGAUGCCACUUCUUUGACUAGCCAAUAUUAAGCGGAGAAAGGAUUGGGCCAGUGAGAUGGAGAGGCCACUAGCAUUUUGGGACACAGUUAUAUUCACCAAUGAGCCCAGAUUUGCUGUAUUCUCCGACAGUGAUCGGGUGUGGGUCUGGGUCUGGAGAUCUGUGAUCAAGAAUUUGAUGUGCAAAGUUUGCAGCCAAUAAUGUAACAUGGCUGCUAUUCUGUGAUGGUUUAGGGAACAAUUUGGAGCAAUGGUCAAUCAGUUAUGGUGGAGUGUGAGGGAAACAUAAAUAUAUGUCCAUUAUAGAAAGGACUCCUUCAAAUCUUCUCCAGUGGUGGAAUGAUUAAAGAAGACUCUUUAUGGAAGAUGAGGCUUCUUGUCACACAGCUAAAAUGACUCAAGAUUUGUUGGAUGAGAAUGGCGUUACAAAGCCAUUCACCAGAUGUGAACCCUAUUGAACACCUCUGGAGCAUAAUGGACAGGACACUUCAUAGAAGAACAAGAAAGCAUCUUCAAAGCCAGAUCUUUUGAGAUUACUGCAUGAAACUUGGCAAGAGAUUCCUCAAGAGAAUAUUCAUCUGAUCAGUAACACAUGCCUAAUAGGGUCCUUGCAUUGAUAAAUGCAAGGAGCAUGUCUAAUAAAUAUUAAAUAUUCAAAUUAUAACAAUUAAUAAAUUUGAAUGUAUAAUUUCAGAUUUAAACAGAUUUUAACAA